rnacentral:lncRNA from 1 species
CAGUUCUAAAAAUCACACUUAAUUAAACAAAUGCUGGAAACCCUAAACCCUACUAAGUCAAUAAAGCUAUACAAGAUUUGUAAACAGGAACAAAACCAAAAUCAUUAGAAUCACAGCAGUGAAAUUACCAAGUGAUGGCUAUACAGUCUAUAACCCAACUUAAUCUGCUUCAAGAAUAAUCAGGAUGCUUCUAUAAGGAUACCAGUUUUCUGUUGAUCUAAACAAAAUUCACAACAAAUCGUUUCAAUAUCCAACAUCUGUACUCUAACAAUCAGGAAAAGAACACAGCAAAUGAUAGCCACAGUCUACAUAAACAAACAAAGCCAUCCAACAUAGCACAGCACAAACUAGAUAGUUCAAUUGGCUUCAAAUACAAAGCAAUCCUUCAACAAGAUUAUCAUUUUAAUCUUGUUCCAAACAAACCUAGCAAAAAUUAACAGUAAACAAAAACGAAAGAGAAUGA